AGGAACUGUUGAAUCAUGGAGUUUGAGUAAGUGCGCCUUUGGCAUUAGCAGAUCUACCAAACAGCUUUCCAGUCUGGAGUAGCAAAUUAAACUCCUUGCACAUCAGGUUACAGUGACACAACUUUAGGAACUCUUCAAGCCACAAAAAUUAUCUGCUCCAAGGUUUGGAAUCACUGGAAACUGAAUCACUAUCAGAUUCUAUGCUGCCUUGCAGCUGACCAAUUCCCUGCAAGUCUGAAGAAGCUCUGCAGGCUGAAGCCAAUGCACAACACCUCAAAGGACUCAUCCUGCCACAGGCCAGGCUUGAGCCCGAACUCUCUCUGGAUGAAUUCGUUCUGGACCUAAAUCAGUCUGGUCAUGAGAGGAAAAUGAAUUGCCACCAAAAGAAGUGGUCCUGUGUGUCCUAAAGGAGAUGGCUGUGGGGCAGGGAGAGGGUUAAAGUAAGUCCUCGAGAGCUGCAUCUGACACGUGACUGAUGCUUUGGCUAAUUCAAGACUAAGGGACAGGAAAUGAGGAAGAAUGGAAGCCAGUGAGGAAGAAGGAAGAAAACCCCAGCAA